ensembl:lincRNA
AUGUCAUCUUCAGUCCACUCCGCCAUCCUCUUCUCUGCAUUGUCAGGUCCCAAGCACCAGCCAGGACCAUGGACUCUAGAAGUAACCAGUGUGCAGCAGAAAUGGUCUGGAAUUGCUGGAGGACUCCCCAGACCUUGGCCCAGUCUGUGGGAUUGCGAAUCUCAAAAAGACAGCGGUGGAAGCUUUCUAGUAACCCAGUCACACAGGGAGCUUGAAAGAGAAAUUAAGGUGAGUUAUACAAAGAUAUAUUUCUUAUAUACACUUAAAUUUGUGGACUGUGAUUCAUAGACACUAGCCCUAUGUAUUGCCAAUAAAUUUCAGAGACUUUCAGAUUUCAAUUUUAAAACAAAGCCAUGUUUCAUGUCUCUCCUUACAACUCCCCCCGAGCCCCCAACAGCUGCCUGAAUGACCUAGCUUAAAUGUGCAUCUGAUCAUUUCAUCCCCAAAUUGAAAACCCUUGGAGCCUCUCCAUGCUCACAGAAUCAAGUCUGAAGGUCUUAGUGGGGUUGUCUGUGAUCUCCACACCACCCUGGUCUGGAGGAUGCUGGAGAGGUAGGUGGAAAACAGCUUUCAGUGGAAGCCUGCCUGCUCCCUCCUCUUCCCAUCUCAGGAAGGACUCGGAGGUGGGGAAGUGGUGGGUGGAGUUGAAUUCAAGGCCCUCCAUGGGUUGCCUUCCACCAGGCUUUCAACAUUGAAAAGAAAGAAAUACUGGUAGCUUAAAAGAGUAUGUGAAAUGAAAGGUCAAGGUGUAACAGUUUAACCAAAGUGACUUCUGGCACAAAAGGUCAGUACUUUGGAAAUAAAAUUUUCUCUAUGUCUUUGGGGCUUCUGCAUCAUUCUUUUAGCUGAAGCCUAGCUAGACUGAGCUCCUGGAACCUCAGAGAGAGACAGAGAGAGCCUGCCCUACGUUUAUGCCCCAAAGGAGUUAGCAGGCUCCAGAGAAGAGGGUGGAGGGGACCCACAGGCUUCUGUCUGUGGUGGGGAUGGUCCUGCGCCAUCACCCAGUCCUUUGUUGUCUCCCUUUGGCUUGUCGGCACCUGAACGUGGGGAUAGGGGGGUCUCAAACUGGAAAAUGUUGAGCUGAUAAUAACUAGUGGUCCUGGUCAGUGCCCAUCACUACAUCUUCUUGAUUUCGAGGGAUAGAUUAUGGAGAAUAGUUGGAGGUAGAGACACAGCAUGAAGCAGCUGGGUUGGAGGGGUGGGGGAUCAGCCUCUGAGCUCCAGUCCUGAGUCUUGCAGGCAGAACCAGAAAGGACGCCCAGGUCCCCUCAGAGAGAAGCCCGGCUUCCUCCAGCACCUUCUAGGAGGCCUCUUGUUUCCUUCCGUCCAUGUGUGGGUUUCUCUGUCUGUGGGUAACGUGUGCUGUGUUCAUACACAUGCAUACUUCCAUAUGGAUGAAGAAUCAUGAAAAGCGGGCCAGGUUGUUUCCAUCUUCCUCUCUCACAGGUUUGUUUGUUUGGUCUGAAGAAAGCAUCAGUUGAAGGAUGCCUGCUCAGAAUGCUGCAGAGUCUUCUGGUAGCCACUGUGCUCACAGAGAGGGACAAGCGGCAGGGUGGGUUUCAACCCGAUCUGCAAAGCCAACCGACUCUCAGUCAGAGCAGCCUGUUAUAGAGGUUGGUUUGCAAAGGUGAAAAAAACCUCCCUUAAAGUCCCUGGAAAUAGGGAGCCACACCUGCUUCGUGGUCAGCAAACAGGCAUCCUUGGGUUUCAGGAGAGGAGGUGGUGAAAGAAGGGAGAGGAGAUGACAGGGAUGGUGGCUGGGGCAGGACAAAAAGCCACAGUGAGAAG